rnacentral:lncRNA from 1 species
AUGGAUGUAAACUAGUCUAGCUUUUGAUUACGGGAACAAUUGUUCGAAGAGUUCCCUACCAUUUCCAUUGCAAAACCAUAAUUUUCUGCAUAUACUCACAGAACAAUCGCCAUCGCUAUUAAUAAUCUGUUCCAGCUUUGCUGAUGUAGACUGCAUUUGAUUUCAAGGAACCAUAAUAUUAGAAUAUCCAGAUCACUUGACAAAAUAUAUACAACCCCACAUUAAAGUCCUUUUUUUAUUUUUUAUUCUUU